rnacentral:tRNA from 1 species
AUUUAUAUAGUUUAAUACAAAACCUUACAUUUUCAUUGUAAUAAUAAAACAAAAGUUUUUAUAAAUU